rnacentral:rRNA from 1 species
GCAACUCGCCUGCACGAAGUCGGAAUUGCUAGUAAUCGUAGGUCAGCAUACUACGGUGAAUACGUUCCCGGGCCUCGUACACACCGCCCGUCAAACCAUGAGAGUUGGCAACACCCGAAGUCGGUAGUCUAACCGCAAGGAGGACGCCGCCGAAGGUGGGGUUGAUGAGUUAGGGUUAAGUCGUAACAAGGUAAC